rnacentral:rRNA from 1 species
UUUAUGGAGAGUUUGAUCCUGGCUCAGAGUGAACGCUGGCGGCGUGCCUAAUACAUGCAAGUCGAACGAUGAAGCUUCUAGCUUGCUAGAAGUGGAUUAGUGGCGCACGGGUGAGUAACGCAUAGGUCAUGUGCCUCUUAGUUUGGGAUAGCCAUUGGAAACGAUGAUUAAUACCAGAUACUCCCUACGGGGGAAAGAUUUAUCGCUAAGAGAUCAGCCUAUGUCCUAUCAGCUUGUUGGUAAGGUAAUGGCUUACCAAGGCUAUGACGGGUAUCCGGCCUGAGAGGGUGAACGGACACACUGGAACUGAGACACGGUCCAGACUCCUACGGGAGGCAGCAGUAGGGAAUAUUGCUCAAUGGGGGAAACCCUGAAGCAGCAACGCCGCGUGGAGGAUGAAGGUUUUAGGAUUGUAAACUCCUUUUGUUAGAGAAGAUAAUGACGGUAUCUAACGAAUAAGCACCGGCUAACUCCGUGCCAGCAGCCGCGGUAAUACGGAGGGUGCAAGCGUUACUCGGAAUCACUGGGCGUAAAGAGCGCGUAGGCGGGAUAGUCAGUCAGGUGUGAAAUCCUAUGGCUUAACCAUAGAACUGCAUUUGAAACUACUAUUCUAGAGUGUGGGAGAGGUAGGUGGAAUUCUUGGUGUAGGGGUAAAAUCCGUAGAGAUCAAGAGGAAUACUCAUUGCGAAGGCGACCUGCUGGAACAUUACUGACGCUGAUUGCGCGAAAGCGUGGGGAGCAAACAGGAUUAGAUACCCUGGUAGUCCACGCCCUAAACGAUGGAUGCUAGUUGUUGGAGGGCUUAGUCUCUCCAGUAAUGCAGCUAACGCAUUAAGCAUCCCGCCUGGGGAGUACGGUCGCAAGAUUAAAACUCAAAGGAAUAGACGGGGACCCGCACAAGCGGUGGAGCAUGUGGUUUAAUUCGAAGAUACACGAAGAACCUUACCUAGGCUUGACAUUGAGAGAAUCCGCUAGAAAUAGUGGAGUGUCUAGCUUGCUAGACCUUGAAAACAGGUGCUGCACGGCUGUCGUCAGCUCGUGUCGUGAGAUGUUGGGUUAAGUCCCGCAACGAGCGCAACCCCCUUUCUUAGUUGCUAACAGGUCAUGCUGAGAACUCUAAGGAUACUGCCUCCGUAAGGAGGAGGAAGGUGGGGACGACGUCAAGUCAUCAUGGCCCUUACGCCUAGGGCUACACACGUGCUACAAUGGGGUGCACAAAGAGAAGCAAUACUGCGAAGUGGAGCCAAUCUUCAAAACGCCUCUCAGUUCGGAUUGUAGGCUGCAACUCGCCUGCAUGAAGCUGGAAUCGCUAGUAAUCGCAAAUCAGCCAUGUUGCGGUGAAUACGUUCCCGGGUCUUGUACUCACCGCCCGUCACACCAUGGGAGUUGUGUUUGCCUUAAGUCAGGAUGCUAAACCAGCUACUGCCCACGGCACACACAGCGACUGGGGUGAAGUCGUAACAAGGUAACCGUAGGUGAACCUGCGGUUGGAUCACCUCCUUU